AUUGAACGCUGGCGGCAGGCUUAACACAUGCGAGUCGAGCGGAGUGAUGGUGCUUGCACUAUCACUUAGCGGCGGACGGGUGAGUAAUGCUUAGGAAUCUGCCUAUUAGUGGGGGACAACAUCUCGAAAGGGAUGCUAAUACCGCAUACGUCCUACGGGAGAAAGCGGGGGAUCACUUGUGACCUUGCGCUAAUAGAUGAGCCUAAGUCGGAUUAGCUAGUUGGUGGGGUAAAGGCCUACCAAGGCGACGAUCUGUAGCGGGUCUGAGAGGAUGAUCCGCCACACUGGGACUGAGACACGGCCCAGACUCCUCCGGGAGGUAGCAGUGGGGAAUAUUGGACAAUGGGGGGAACCCUGAUCCAGCCAUGCCGCGUGUGUGAAGAAGGCCUUAUGGUUGUAAAGCACUUUAAGCGAGGAGGAGGCUCUUUUGGUUAAUACCCAAGAUGAGUGGACGUUACUCGCAGGAUAAGCACCGGCUAACUCUGUGCCAGCAGCCGCUGUAAAAC
rnacentral:rRNA from 1 species